UUCAGUCAGAAGGCUCUCUGCUGCAGGAGGGGGGGCGGUGUGCUGCGUGCUGCCAACUGGGCUCUCGCCAGCUCCCAGGGCUCUCCUGCAAGUUGGCACUGGCAGUGGCUCCAUGCGCCAUUCUAAGCAGCAGGUCCAACACAACUAACUGCUCCUCAUCCAAGGCAAAAACAAAGCAAAAAUACCCUCAAAGGAAAAAAAACCCACAAUAUCCCCAAAGAAAAAAUAUCCCAGUGCUCACGUCAGGCAAACCCUGGAGAAAAGAAACCUGAUGUGCUGCACUUAUCCAGUCCAUGACCUGCACUCCUUCCCCUCUCUAUCAGAGUAUUUCCAGUGUGUGGUGUGUGAUGGCACAGGGUAUUUGAGCUGCCCAAAGGAGUAUCACAGAGGGAAUUUUUUUG